rnacentral:rRNA from 1 species
GAUGAACGCUAGCGGGAGGCUUAACACAUGCAAGUCGAGGGGCAGCACGUCCGCCGCAAGGCGGAUGGUGGCGACCGGCGCACGGGUGAGUAACACGUAUGUAACCUACCCUUUACAGGGGGAUAACCCGGAGAAAUUCGGACUAAUACCCCAUAAAGAUAUACCGGGGCAUCCUGGUAUAUUUAAAGCUGAGGCGAUAAAGGAUGGGCAUGCGGAACAUUAGCUGGUUGGUAAGGUAACGGCUUACCAAGGCUACGAUGUUUAGGGGGACUGGGAGGGUGAUCCCCCACACUGGUACUGAGACACGGACCAGACUCCGACGGGAGGCAGCAGUGAGGAAUAUUGGUCAAUGGGCGCAAGCCUGAACCAGCCGUCCCGCGUGAAGGAAGACGGCCCUAUGGGUUGUAAACUUCUUUUCCAGGGGGUGAAUUAUCCCGACGUGUCGGGGUUUGACGGUACCCUGGGAAUAAGCAUCGGCUAACUCCGUGCCAGCAGCCGCCGUAAAAC